UGGCGAUUACAUUAAGGACCGGAAUCUUAUUGGAGUUCAAAGUGUAUAAAAUUAGCACGCCAUAUAAAAAUCGCACGACAAAUUGCACGCCGGAAUUUGCACUUACCGUUGAAAUUCAUUCAUGAGUCUAGCUCUCUCGCUCACUGUGUAUGUUUUCGGCCGGACACAUUUAUCACAUCAGGAAUGCAAAUGGAAACGCUGUUAAGUUCGAUUAGACAUGCAAAUGCCGUAAACGAGCUGAGCUGCACGUCCGUGCACACGGACAUGGACAUGGACACGGACACGAACCGAGCCCCUUUUCAAUUCCAACAACAUUGCGAACAAAUUUUGCUUGUUUUUUAAUGAAAAGCUAAUUUACGGAACACACGCAACGUUCAACCCAGCCUAUUGACAGGUGUGUACAUACGGUAUAACAAUAAAAUUAAUAUAAUAUU